rnacentral:rRNA from 1 species
UGGGCUUGACAUCCCACGAACCUGUCUGGAAGGGCGGGGUGCCCGCUAGGGAGCGUGGAGACAGGUGGUGCAUGGCUGUCGUCAGCUCGUGUCGUGAGAUGUUGGGUUAAGUCCCGCAACGAGCGCAACCCUCACCCCUAGUUGCCACCGGGUAAUGCCGAGCACUCGAGGGGAACUGCCAGCGUCAAGCUGGAGGAAGGCGGGGAUGACGUCAAGUCAUCAUGCCCCUUACGCCCUGGGCUACACACGUGCUACAAUGGCCAGUACAAAGGGAUGCGAGACCGUAAGGUGGAGCUAAUCCCAAAAAGCUGGUCUAAGUUCAGAUUGCAGUCUGCAACUCGACUGCAUGAAGGAGGAAUCGCUAGUAAUCGCGCAUCAGCACGGCGCGGUGAAUACGUUCCCGGGCCUUGUACACACCGCCCGUCACACCACGAAAGCUGGCUGUACUCGAAGUCGCUGAG